AACGGUGAAGCAGCUCCGAAGACGCGCCGAACUCAUAACCCGGAGGUCGCAGGUUCAAAUCCUGCCCCCGCUA
rnacentral:tRNA from 1 species